CUUGAUGGAGCCGAGCCACAACGGCCGGUCCCGGUCGCGGCCGUAGGUCGCCAUGAGGGCCUGGGCCUC
rnacentral:antisense_RNA from 1 species